AGGAGGUUGGCUUAGAAGCAGCCACCCUUUAAAGAAAGCGGAAUAGCUCACUGGUCGAGUCGGUCUGCGCGGAAGAUGUAACGGGGCUAAACUAUGCACCGAAGCUGCGGAUUCAUCUUAGGAUGAGUGGUAGGGGAGCGUUCUGUAAGCGGUUGAAGGUGUACCGGGAGGUAUGCUGGACGUAUCAGAAGUGCGAAUGCUGACAUGAGUAACGAUAAUGCGGGUGAAAAACCCGCACGCCGGAAGACCAAGGGUUCCU
rnacentral:rRNA from 11 species